CCCUAGCCCUGAUAGAAGCGGCAUCCUUUUAUGGUGGGGGUCACCAUAAAAGAUACAGCGGAUAGCAGGAAACAGC
rnacentral:sRNA from 1 species